rnacentral:sRNA from 2 species
GGCAGUCUCGUAAGCAUUCUUCUCAUUCUGGACAGUGUAUCGUUUGUAGUUUUUAUUGUGUUGGCUGAGCUUCCGUAACGCUGUCAUUGCAUCGUGGGGUAGCCACGGGGUGUAAUCGUCUAGUUUCAUGAUUACAUCAAAUGCACCGCCCUUAAUCUGAUCUGCUGCAGUAGAAUAUGCCUGCUGCAUACCUCUUGCAAGAAGAAAGACAAGAUGGAGCUGGUUGAUAGAGUUGCAGGCAUCCCCUGAGUUCAAGACCUGCGAGGACCCAAAUGCGAAGACAGUAAGAAGGAUCGAAACCAGGAACACAGCCUUGCAAUUUUCUUCAUUGAUAUUUCCUAGUAAUGGUUGGGAUAGAGCCACAGCCCGAGAGUGGUGGCCAAGGGCGAGGGCCAGAUAUAGCUGUUGUUUGAUAUUGGAGGCGUUACACCCUGAUCUUCGUCCAAGCUCAAGACCAGAUACCGCUAGAAUUCCAUGCAUUAAGA